rnacentral:rRNA from 1 species
AGACCCGAAACCCGGUGAUCUAGCCAUGGGCAGGUUGAAGGUUGGGUAACACUAACUGGAGGACCGAACCGACUAAUGUUGAAAAAUUAGCGGAUGACCUGUGGCUGGGGGUGAAAGGCCAAUCAAACCGGGAGAUAGCUGGUUCUCCCCGAAAGCUAUUUAGGUAGCGCCUCGUGAAUUCAUCUCCGGGGGUAGAGCACUGUUUCGGCUAGGGGGCCAUCCCGGCUUACCAACCCGAUGCAAACUGCGAAUACCGGAGAAUGUUAUCACGGGAGACACACGGCGGGUGCUAACGUCCGUCGUGAAGAGGGAAACAACCCAGACCGCCAGCUAAGGUCCCAAAGUCAUGGUUAAGUGGGAAACGAUGUGGGAAGGCCCAGACAGCCAGGAUGUUGGCUUAGAAGCAGCCAUCAUUUAAAGAAAGCGUAAUAGCUCACUGGUCGAGUCGGCCUGCGCGGAAGAUGUAACGGGGCUAAACCAUGCACCGAAGCUGCGGCAGCGAACGUAUCACUUAAAGCGAUUCAGCGGGUUACGAUUGACGGAGCGAAGCGACGUCAAAGCGUAUACAAAGUCGAGUCGGUUUAAGGAUACGUUCGUUGGGUAGGGGAGCGUUCUGUAAGCCUGUGAAGGUGUGUCGUGAGGCAUGCU